GGCAGACUCAGGUCCAACAGGUCCCAGGUAACCAGAGCCCAGACUGCGACCAGCAGCGACACACCGAGCAACCACUGCAGGAGUUUAGUCAUGACGAGGGACGACGCUGGAAAUGUGAGCCACCUCAGCUUAGCGCAGGCUAAUGACGAGCUCCACCGUGCUGCAUCAUGGGAAACGUAGUUGACAACGAAAAGGGGAAUAACGGGGUUCACCUAAAAGUUUCGGACAAGCAAAACUUUUUGUCAAUGUCAGACAAAACCCAUCAUUUAUCAUCUGCUGACAGUCACUGGUCCCCUCCAACGGCCGUACUGGUGAGAUUACGCAGACAGUCAGUGAGACCUUUCUCUCCCAAGUCCACAUCUCGACCACAUGGCACACAGGGGAACAUCAUCACCACGGGUGGACCCUCCUUACGACGCCGUGUCCCAUACCCGGGGGAUCUGGGCAUGGAAGGCGAGGGCGGAUGGGGACCUGGAAGCAAGAGGGACAUUGGGUUAAAACACCUGGG